GCUACGGGAGGCAGCAGUGAGGAAUAUUGGUCAAUGGACGAGAGUCUGAACCAGCCAAGUAGCGUGAAGGAUGACUGCCCUAUGGGUUGUAAACUUCUUUUAUAAAGGAAUAAAACGAGGCACGUGUGCCUUUUUGCAUGUACUUUAUGAAUAAGGAUCGGCUAACUCCGUGCCAGCAGCCGCGGUAAUACGGAGGAUCCGAGCGUUAUCCGGAUUUAUUGGGUUUAAAGGGAGCGUAGAUGGGUUGUUAAGUCAGUUGUGAAAGUUUGCGGCUCAACCGUAAAAUUGCAAUUGAUACUGGCAGUCUUGAGUGCAGUUGAGGUAGGCGGAAUUCGUGGUGUAGCGGUGAAAUGCUGAGAUAUCACGAAGAACCCCGAUUGCGAAGGCAGCCUGCCAAGCCAUGACUGACGCUGAUGCACGAAGGCGUGGGGAUCAAACAGGAUUAGAUACCCGGGUAGUC
rnacentral:rRNA from 1 species